rnacentral:rRNA from 1 species
GAUGAACGCUAGCGGCAGGCCUAACACAUGCAAGUCGAGGGAGAAGCCCUUCGGGGCAGAAACCGGCGCACGGGUGCGUAACGCGUAUGCAACCUACCUUUCACAGGGGGAUAGCCCGAAGAAAUUUGGAUUAAUACCCCAUAAUAUUAUUGGGUGGCAUCAUUUGAUAAUUAAAAUUACGAUGGUGAAAGAUGGGCAUGCGUCCUAUUAGCUAGUUGGAGUGGUAACGGCACCCCAAGACUACGAUAGGUAGGGGUCCUGAGAGGGAGAUCCCCCACACUGGUACUGAGACAGGGACCAGACUCCUACGGGAGGCAGCAGUGAGGAAUAUUGGUCAAUGGUCGGAAGACUGAACCAGCCAUGCCGCGUGCAGGAAGAAUGCCUUAUGGGUUGUAAACUGCUUUUAUAUGGGAAGAAUAAGGAGUACGUGUACUUUGAUGACG